UCUAAAAACGCUAAAUGAUAACGUAUGCCAUUUGAUCUGUUGCACUAGUUUUGUAGUAAUGCCGGCUUUUACCUUGAGUCCCUAUUUUCAGGUGUGCCAAAAUGGACGAUAUCAUGAUAUAGUGAUCAACCGUAAUAUGUACCUUGAAACCGACACCACCCGAUUCGACAAAUGGGGCAGUACGUUUGACAGCACUAUCAUAGUAGCGUACGACUCGGAUUGCACUAUGUCGACAAAGAUGUGUCUGUCUUUCAAGACCUAUGGCUUCACGGGCGGCUACGUCAUCUUUGACGUCCACUUCCAUUACCUGUGUUCAGCACCGCCAGCAUUCGUAGAUUCCAAGGGUGACUUUGGCGUUGUGAAGGGGGCGAAGGUUAAUAUGCAAAAGAACUACGCCAUGUUAGAUUGCGAGAAGCUCUGCUGAUAAGCUCAUGGGCAAAUAAUGUGAUUAUCAUUUGUAUGCGGAUUAUUGUUUACAUGGCCGUGAAGCAAUCUGAUGUGAUAUGAUGUGAUUCCAACCAUGACUCCUGCCAGCAGUAUUCCUGCCGUGUUAGACAGCGUAGGGGCUGUGUUAUGCUGCCUCUCGUGAUGGCUGAGCCAAAGUCAUAAGUAUGGACUCUAAUAUAAAGCUAUGAGAAGUGUCGCCUUUGCAUUUGCGUUAUGAGUACGGCCAGGCGGAUAUCCUCUCGUAGACAGUACGUAUAUUGCAAUACUGUUGGGCAAAGGCCGUUCUAUCCUAAAAAUCGUGAACCCGAAUUUUGCUAUGGAAAUGAAUGAGCCAGGGAAUGAAUGGACCAUGGUAGGUUUCACUUUAUAUCCUGGUGGGGUUAAAAGAUCCAAAAUUAAUUCGGAUAGACAAUCCCGUAUUGAAGGUGAUUCGCUUCGGUAUUCAAAAGGAGGUGAAAAUUCGCAUAUAUGCGAUGCUGCACCCAAAUCAUGAUGUCACAUAAAAUGAGAAAGCCCAUGCCCAUGCCCAAGCCCAAAGCGGAGUGGGGCAGUAACGACAUUUUAUAGUUUUCGGUAUCGACCAAGCGGUCGACACUUCCGCGAACAGAGGUUUCUCCUUUCUGCCCUUUCAGACGAAGAGAUUUUCUCCUGGCCGAUACAGUGAACUUCACUCUAUACAGGGUGUUUCACGAAAAUCCCCCGGCUGGAUAAUUCGUGAACAGGUGGCGUUAUCGAAGAAAUUUCUUUUUGGUAAAUUUCCUUACGGCAUCGGCUAUGAACUGAGUAGUGAGCGGGUCAUUUGCAUACGCCCAUUAAUUAAAUUUUCACUUCGCACGCUUACGGAACCGCUAUUUUACGUAUCGGGAAAUAUUACAACAAAAAAGCCCCGUCGACACUUGUUGAUUUUUCGAUUAAUUCAUUGGUUUCGGUUUACAUAUUCCUUGCGUGGAGCAGCGUACCAAUGCGCUCUUUGGAUCAGCUAUCCGGCUCUCAAUUUCAUAUUCAUCCGCCUGUUUGACACACGGGGGUGACGAAAGAUGUGGUGUUCCUUCUCUAUACUCUUGAAAAUGAACUUCACCACAUAGCACAAUCCUAGCCAACUAUCAUCCCGGAUGACAACGUUCUCUCCCAUGAUAUGAUGAAUAUGAGGGGGGGAGGGGGGGCGAGUAUUUUUUCUUCCCUUUCUUGUUUCUGUACAAAUGAUGCUGUACAUAAGGAAAACAAAUGUUUUGUUUAUUGCCUGCCCUUCUGUACAAAUCGUUGUCAUUCAGGACGAUAGUUGGCGAGAGGCAUGCUAUCUGGUGCAGUUUCCAAGUAGUUCACAGUGCUCGCGGGGCAUUCGUCAUAGUCAAUGAUAAGAGCACGUUAUCUCAGACACACAAGGACAGACCCGCCAGUGCUGUUCAGCAGUCUCUUUAACGAGGAAUACCGAAGCCUCUUGCGGCCUUUCCUGCGGAUAAACACGAAAUUGACAGUCUGAUAGCUGAUUCAAAGAGCGUACUGGUGCGCUGCUCCGCGCAAUAAAUAUGUAAACCGAAACCAAUUAAUUGCUUCAAAAUAUUUUUCACUGAAGGUCCCGAUGCGUAAAACAAGGUGUGGCGGCACGUGGACGACGAUGAAGACGUGCCUCUGCUGGCGCGCGGCUCUGCGCCUGCCAGCCUGUUCUACCGGCACCGUCCUAGCGUGAGGCCACGUCCACACGUCCACGGGUGUGCCGGAGGUAGUGCUGCUCGAUGGUGUCGUCACAAAUUUGGGAUGGUGAAGGGCCGAAUUGCUUCGGACGUGAUGUGCUUCGGCGGGUCACCAAAUGUAGAGGACGGUGGUCUUCUUCUACAUGAGUUCCACCGGCGCGGCCAUGGAGAUAGGUCACCGUCAUCGCCUCUCCGUGGCAUACCAUCAUCGCCGGUCGGGACUCAUGUAGAGGAAGACCACCGUCCUCUACAAAGGGUUCCGUAAGCGUGCGAAGUUAUGAUGUUUAUUUCAUUAAUGAGCGUAUGUAAAUCAGCCGCUCACUACUCAGUUCAUAGCCGAUGUCCCACGGGUCUUUACCGAAUUAUUCAGCCAAGGGAUUUUCGUGAAACACCCUGUAGACAUGUAGACUGGGGGCAGGUAGGCUGUCUGUGUGGUGAAAUAAGGCCGGUCUAAAGUGUGUGUUCCAUCUCAACUUUGGCAAGGUGGUCAGGACACCAUCAGAGGUUUUUAUUGAAAAAUAAACUAUAUAUGUUGUAGCCUGA